rnacentral:rRNA from 1 species
CAUGGGGAUUUGGGGCGAGGAAGAUUGGGGUGCGAUUCGGGGGGAUCAUGCCUCGGAUUCUUGGGGUCGUCGGGGAUGCGGUGAUUGAAGGAGAAGACGGUGGAGAUAGAGAGGGAGGGGGAGGCUUCGGAUUUCAAAAAUAGACUUGGCUCGUUCGAUACUGCCAAUUCUUUUGGUGCUGAUUUUGAGUUGUUAAGAACCCUUGAUUGAUGCAAAUCUUAAUUUUGUUUUAUGUGGAGCACCAGUGUUGGGGAUAUCUUGUUAAACAUCCAGUUCCCCUGACAUGCAUGAACUGUUCAGUAUAGGAUUCCCAUCUUAUGCAGCUAUGUUUGCUCUAUUUACAUUGUUUUCUAUCAUGUGUUAUGUUUGCAACAUUUCCCUAUGCUUUGAUUGAUAAUAUGUAUUUUGAUGUUUUUGCCUAAUUUGUGUUUACCUUUGUUUCAUAGGAACUUGUCAAAUCUUGGUCUGAAGGGAAUGUUAUCUCCUGAGAUUGGACAGCUUACUAAUAUGCAUUUUCUUGUACUGCACAGGAACUUGUUCUAUGGUAUUAUCCCUAGAGAGAUGGGAGAUUUACGAGAGCUGAAGGUGCAGGAUCUGGGGUACAAUAACUUCAAUGGAUCAAUUCCAUCAGAGCUAAUAAACAUUUUAUCCCUGGAAUUUAUCUUUCUUAAAAGAAACAGACUUUAUGGUGAUUUACCUCUUGAACUAAAUGAGCUCAUCAGUCUGUGUGAGUCUCAGGUUCGCCACAGCAGGACUUUCUCAAAUAGGAUGCCUGCUGCAAGGUUUGUCUAAGUUUUCUUCUACUUGCAUAUCUGAGAGUUAAACUCGUGAUUAUGCAAGGCUUGAGUUAAAUUUUCAAAUCAAACAGGGAUUUGAGCAAGCUUGAUUUUGGUUAAAAAAUCCCACCCUGUUCCUGCAAUCACAUGUAUGUUAAUGAUAUCUGAAAUAUUUGAGAAUUAUCUGUUUCGACUCAAGAAAUAUCAGACUUCUUUUAGGAACAUGUCCUCCACAAAAUGGUAAAUUAUAUCCGAGUCGGCAUCCCUGAAACCCAGCCCAAAUCCACAUAUAACCUCACUCUGGACGAACCCUAGACCCAAAUCUCUAGACAAUGCCAUGUUGAAAGAUAGGCUUGCGAAGAUUCGGCUCAAGAAUUCCUGAGGGUACUUCUGUCUUUAUCAUAUUUGUUCUCACACCUUGGCCGUUGUGUUUUCCCGCCGCAACGCACGCGUCGACCCGCAAUGUUGUAUCUCGGAAGGACACCUUUCGGUAUUUGGGGUCAAUGUUGCAGGAGGAUGGGGGUAUUGAUGAAGAUGUGAACCAUCGAAUCAAAGCCGGAUGGACGAAGUGGCGCCAAGCUUCUGGCAUUCUCUGUGACAAGAGAGUGCCACAAAAGCUAAAAGGCAAGUUCUACAGGACGGCGGUUCGACCCGCAAUGUUGUAUGGCGCGGAGUGUUGACCGACUAAAAGGCGACAUGUUCAACAGUUAGGUGUGGCGGAGAUGCGUAUGUUGAGAUGGAUGUGUGGCCACACGAGGAAGGAUCGACUCCGGAAUGAUGAUAUACGAGAUAGAGUUGGGGUAGCACCAAUUGAGGAGAAGCUUGUCCAACAUCGUUUGAGAUGGUUUGGGCAUAUUCAGCGCAGGCCUCCAGAAGCUCCAGUGCAUAGCGGACGGCUAAAGCGUGCGGAGAAUGUCAAGAGAGGGCGGGGUCGACCGAUUUUGACAUGGGAGGAGUCCGUUAAGAGAGACCUGAAGGAUUGGAGUAUCGACAAAGAGCUAGCUAUGGACAGGGGUGCGUGGAAGCUUGCUAUCCAUGUGCCAGAGCCAUGAGUUGGUUGCGAGAUCUUAUGGGUUUCACCUCUAGCCUACCCCAACUUGUUUGGGACUAAAGGCUUUGUUGUUGUUGUUUUGUAACGCACGCGUCGACCCGCAGUCCUCAUAUGAAGUGAACCAGAAGCGGUACAUGCGAGAGAAAAGAAAAACAAACCCAACCACCUGCACGACCCUUCCUCUUGAUCCCAUCUGGACCUUUAGUAUUCUCGGGAUUUAUCUGAUUAUGAUGAUGUUCCAUACUGCUCUGGAGCCGACAACUUUUUGGACUGCUCGAUGUCUAUAACCAAUGAGACUACUUUUUUGGUUGUUGGCUGGAGGCUGGAGCUAUCACUGUGACUGAAAUUUUCUUUUCACCAAAGUAAAAUUAUAUGGUCAUCAAAACCAACGACAUGUUAACACUUGUCAGCAGUUUGCAAUUUGUAUUGCAGUAUGCGUAAGCCAAUGGUCAGACAUUGUUGUUUUAGUCAGGAAAUGUAGAAAACGUGUUCAUGAUUUAUGUAGAUUGGACAGUCCCUUCAAACUGCAGUAUUCGAUCUUGAGCGGACAAUCUAACUAUAUGUUUCCUUAUAGAAAAUUGACUAGAUGUUCCAUGAAUUGACUGAUUAGUUUGGCCCGAUCAGAUUAAACUAGGUCUUGAUUUGAAGGUCCAGUUAGGGCAGCUGGUGCUGGUUUGUUUGUUGUAAUACUAACUAUGCUACUUAGACAGAGACAUGUGGUCUUUCUCAUUCCUCGACAUUUUCCUUUGCUACCAAGAUUUUUCAUUCUAGGUUGUGGAAAAACGGAUGUAGCAUUCCUUCUACAAGUUGUCAUGAGUUGGGACAUCGAAGAAGAGAGCCGACGAGAAGUUGCACAGCUGUUUGCUCCGGUGUCGCUUCCAAUGGCGUUGCGCAAAGUGCAGAUUGCAGGCUAGAUGCGUAUGAGUCCAUCCCUACGUCCACGGUGUCGAAGCAUAGGAAAUCAAGUCAAUUAGAUAGUAUAUCUGGUUAUGAAAGUGUCUUUUGUGUACGCAGUUUUGCCAUUAUUUUGUAAAAGCUUUGAGUUUUUGAUAAUGUAAUUGUCUUACUAAUAACACUUUUAAUCAAUUCGUACCAAGGCUAAUAGCCAAGUUAUGCACAAAUUGUUCAUGUUUUCUUGAUGACUGCUAUUGUCAGAAGAUUUUUUUCAGCAUUUAAGUAAUACCGAUCCCACUUUCAGUUAUGUAUAUGCAAAGGCCAGUAGCAAGGAAAUGACUGCUCCUUGCUGGUCAGAUAUUUCCUAUUUCCAGGCUUUACUCAUUCUACUUUUCGCACCAUGCUGAUUUGUGAAUGAGAACCUACAUGAUCAUCCAC